CCUACGGGAGGCAGCAGUGGGGGAUAUUGCACAAUGGGGGAAACCCUGAUGCAGCAACGCCGCGUGUGGGAAGAAGGUUUUCGGAUUGUAAACCACUGUUCUUGGUGAAGAUAAUGACGGUAACCAAGGAGAAAGCUCCGGCUAACUACGUGCCAGCAGCCGCGGUAAUACGUAGGGAGCAAGCGUGGUCCGGAUUUACUGGGUGUAAAGGGUGCGUAGGCGGUCCGUUAAGUCAGCGGUAAAAUGGCGGGGCUCAACCCCGUCGAGCCGUUGAAACUGGCAGACUUGAGUUGGCGAGAAGUACGCGGAAUGCGCGGUGUAGCGGUGAAAUGCAUAGAUAUCGCGCAGAACUCCGAUUGCGAAGGCAGCGUACCGGCGCCAGACUGACGCUGAGGCACGAAAGCGUGGGGAUCGAACAGGAUUAGAUACCCCAGUAGUC
rnacentral:rRNA from 1 species